rnacentral:misc_RNA from 1 species
AAGUCGUAACAAGGUAACCGUAGGUGAACCUGCGGUUGGAUCAUUAUUGAUUUUAUUAUCUUUAAUUUCAGUGAGGGCUUACUCUUAAGACUUUUAUUAGUUUGUGAGUCUUCACUGAUUAACAAUUUGUGCACUGUAACGUAAAGUUCGUUGGUGGAUUUAUUUCUACCUUCGAACAUUUUUAUAUAACCUUUUAAUCCAAUUUGUAGUAACCUAUUUUUUCUAAGAAAAAAGAUUAAACAACUUUUGACUACGGAUCUCUAGGCUCUC